CAAGAACUUCUCACCUUGCUCUUGGGGAGACUCGAACUCACAACCUCUCGGUUGGAAGUGGUGGUUGCUUACCAUCAGAGCAACCCCUCUUGUCUCACCUUGUUUACACUAUCAUUAAAUUUAAUUCAAGGGCUAACUGGAACUUCCUUGUUCUUCAUAUUCCCUAGCUUGAUACCCCCACAAAUAAAGCCUAAUCUCUCACACAAUCUUAUAAGUUGCUCAUUCAUCGGUCUAACAAACAAUAGCUCCGACAGUGCAACAUAAUAUGACUCCCAAAGUCUCGCGUGAUCGAACAUUCAUAUGACAGAUUAACUAAGCACCAGUUGCAUGUGGUAAUUUUACACACACACACACACGUGUGUCUGUGUGUGUGCGCCUUAAUAACAAGCUAGCUGGGAUGUCUAUAUGAGUCCUACUAGUACUAUUUAUCAUAAUUGAUCAUAGUUUGACUAUCUUUUACGCUGUAAUCAACUCCUACUCAAAAAAGAUUACUUAAGUAAUUUGUAAAGGUAAAAUAUAUGUAUAAAACUAAAGAAUUGAGGAAAGAGUACCCGAUUGAGAUUAUUAUCCCGAAGAUGAGCGACAAUUAGAGAAUUAACAUGACGAUACAAUUUCCCAUCUUGCAGUGUUUGCUCCAAGCUAUUAUUGCUCUCCAUUUUAACUGAUACACAAUACCCCCAGAAUUAUUAUUGAUUCACAAAUUUGCCUUUGCAGUUUUCCCCUUUUCUUUAAGCUCGUGUAGAUUUUGAAACUUCUCCUAUUAGAUUAUUGUGAAGAGCUGAAACUCAGGUACUAUGAACUUCUGAACUCUACCGCCGCCAUUUUAGUAUACUUUCCCGACACCAAAAUGUUUCUUUGUAACCCAAUUUCGAUUUGCUUUAGAAAUUAAUUUUUAAAACAACUUAAUUUUAGGUUUGUUUUGAAUCAUUAAAAACAAAAAUAAAAAGGUAGUCCGGAACCAAAAUAUUACUAUGAAUUUUGACUCAAGAGACAAAAAUAGGUAAAAAAAAGUGUCGAGGACCAUAUUUUAUUACACAUCUAAAAC
rnacentral:lncRNA from 1 species